CACUGGUCUACAAGGCCAGAGCUUUCUGGAAGGGGGCACCCUUGCCCUGUUGGAUGAAUAGGCACCUCUGGAAGAGCCAACUGUGUGAGAUGGUGCAGCCCAGUGGUGGCCCGGCAGCAGAUCAGGACGUACUGGGCGAAGAGUCUCCUCUGGGGAAGCCAGCCAUGCUGCACCUGCCUUCAGAACAGGGCGCUCCUGAGACCCUCCAGCGCUGCCUGGAGGAGAAUCAAGAGCUCCGAGGUGAGGAAAGAGUCAGGGUAUCCAGCCCUGCUGAGGGGAAGGCGUCUUCUCCCCACCUGCACCUCUGCGUUUCCUGGGCCUGGGGUGGGGAUGUGCUGCCCUCCCUCUUGGUUUCAGGAAGUAGACUCUGAGAUGCAGAUUAGCGGGGAGGAAGUUUAGCGUGCUCUCAGGACCAGUACUGGGAAGGGAAAGGAGGGACAGGGGAAGAAGCCGGGGAGGGCAGAGGGAGAAGCACGCUGCCGGGUAGGCUCCAGGACAGCCUUGCUGGACCUUACAGGGAGCUCUGGAGCUGGAAUGAACCUUCCAGGUUGGACCAACAUGUCCAGGCCUCUGUGUCCCUGCACUGAGCACUUAUGAAGUGCUGUCCAUCCUGGGACAGGGCAGAGUCGGCCCUGGGAAGAGGCGUGGUCUGCCCAGAGAGGGGGUGGGGUCUGUCCUGGAAAUGGGCGGGGCAUGCCCUGGUAGAGGGGCGUGGUCUGUCUUGGGAAGGAAGGGGCGUGGUCUGUCUUGGGAAGGAAGGUGCGUGGCCCCCACAGGCAACAUUCCUCUGGGGCAAUCCCGGCGCACACCUCAGCGGAGGUGAAGGCUGACUUCCCACACCCAGUGGCUGGGACUGGGGAGUUCUUUCCUAGACUGCCAUCCGGGCGCCCCUCACCCUCUUGCUGCUCAGCUCCAGGUCGUCGUGGGUUCAGGGCUCAGCUGCACGC
rnacentral:lncRNA from 1 species